GAUGAACGCUGGCGGCGUGCCUAAUACAUGCAAGUCGAGCGAACAGACGAGGAGCUUGCUCCUCUGACGUUAGCGGCGGACGGGUGAGUAACACGUGGAUAACCUACCUAUAAGACUGGGAUAACUUCGGGAAACCGGAGCUAAUACCGGAUAAUAUAUUGAACCGCAUGGUUCAAUAGUGAAAGACGGUUUUGCUGUCACUUAUAGAUGGAUCCGCGCCGCAUUAGCUAGUUGGUAAGGUAACGGCUUACCAAGGCAACGAUGCGUAGCCGACCUGAGAGGGUGAUCGGCCACACUGGAGCUGAGACACGGUCCAGACUCCUACGGGAGGCAGCAGUAGGGAAUCUGCCGCAAUGGGCGAAAGCCUGACGGAGCAACGCCGCGUGAGUGAUGAAGGUCUUCGGAUCGUAAAACUCUGUUAUUAGGGAAGAGCAAAUGUGUAAGUAACUAUGCACGUCUUGACGGUACCUAAUCAGAAAGCCACGGCUAACUACGUG
rnacentral:rRNA from 1 species